UACGGAGGGGGCUAGCGUUGUUCGGAAUUAUUGGGCGUAAAGCGCACGUAGGCGGCUUUGUAAGUUAGAGGUGAAAGCCCGGGGCUCAACCUCGGAACUGCCUUCGAUACUGCGGGUCUAGAGUCCGGGAGAGGUGAGUGGAAUUCCUAGUGUAGAGGUGAAAUUCGUAGAUAUUAGGAAGAACACCAGUGGCGAAGGCGGCUCACUGGCCCGGUACUGACGCUGAGGCGCGAAAGCGUGGGGAGCAAACAGG
rnacentral:rRNA from 1 species